rnacentral:rRNA from 1 species
CUGUACAGUUCAGAGUUUGAUCCUGGCUCAGAACGAACGUUAGCGGCGCGUUUAACACAUGCAAGUCGCACGAGAAAGGGCUUCGGCCCCGGUACAGUGGCGCACGGGUGAGUAACACGUGGGUAAUCUUCCCUCUGCGGGGGAUAACCUUCCGAAAGGAGGGCUAAUACCGCAUAAGACCACGACUCCGAAAGGAGACGAGGUUAAAGCUGGCCUCUAUACAUAAGCUAGCACCAGAGGAUGAGCCCGCGGCCCAUCAGGUAGUUGGUAGGGUAACGGCCUACCAAGCCUAAGACGGGUAGCUGGUCUGAGAGGAUGAUCAGCCACACUGGAACUGAGACACGGUCCAG